GCGGGUUCGGCCGCAGCGCGCGCGGAUUGGGCGCGGGUGGGUGCGGGGCCCCGGGCCGGGAGCCCUCCUUCCGUCCCCUCGUAGGCUGCUCGUACUGCCGCCCGCUUACAGAGGGGAAAACCGGGGCGCUCAGCAGAGCCACCUGCCCACAGAGACCUGGGAUAAUAGAGGCCAAAGGUGGCCCAUCAGCUCAGAAACCUGUAAUUCCGCACAUGCCCAACCAUCCACAGGGACCGGAAGGAGCCGAGCAGACGCCAGCGGAAACCCACAGAUGUUUGCAAUUGACAACAGACCCAUCAGCAGAUGUCCUUAAAGAAUUUGCCGGCACCUGCUGCCUGUUUACCAAUGCUCCCUCCGUGAAGUUCACCUUCAGCUCACGGUGACCACCGCCACCGCCGCCGCCACUGGGGCCCCAAGUCGGGGAUGCCUAGCUCGGGUGGCCCCUUGCUCUAGCCCCCAAGGACAGUCACUUGACCUCUCUGAGCCAGAGAUGCUGCAUGUGUGAAGGAGAAGUGGUAACGCUCACCUCCUAGGAUGGCGGUGACGAUUCGAAAUGAAAACGUCUAGGGCCCUUGGCGUGGGGUCAGCUCCAGGUAGGUGCCCGGUCAGUGGCAGCUGUCGUGAUUCCUCACCUCUUAGCCUCCGUUUCCCCAGCUGGGUUUGGACAGGGCUUAUCUAGAUCAGUGGUUCUCAGUUGGGGGUGAUUUUACCCCCCAGCUGUGGGGCAAGGGAAGCUGCUGGCAUCAGGUGGCGUCGGAGAUGCUGCCAACGUCCGACAGGGUGCAGGACAGCCACGCACAGCGGGGGAUUGUCCAGCCCCAAAUGUCCACAUGAUCUGUAUUAAGAAACCCUGGACUAAGUUCAUCUCUGCGUUUCCCUCGCAGUAGAGGAAGUUUGGGUUGGGUCUGUGUUGCCUUGUGCUGGGAGGGGUCUGGAGCAUCCAGGCUUUCAACCCGGACGUGGCCCCGUAGACUGGACCUCGGGCCUGGGACACUUCCUCCCAGGAGGCAAAGAGG
rnacentral:lncRNA from 1 species